GGGGAGGAUGGAGUGGUGUAUCAGGGGGUAUAAGGCAUAUCAGGCACAGUGGCAUAUGUGGGGGUAGACGUGGCGUGUCUGGGAGGCAGCGUGGCAAGCCUGGGCUCAAAUGUGCAUAAAUUGGGGGGGCUGGUUGGGAAAUAAAGACAAGAAAUGCAUUUCA